rnacentral:rRNA from 1 species
UUAAGCGACUAAGCGUACACGGUGGAUGCCCUGGCAGUCAGAGGCGAUGAAGGACGUGCUAAUCUGCGAUAAGCGUCGGUAAGGUGAUAUGAACCGUUAUAACCGGCGAUUUCCGAAUGGGGAAACCCAGUGUGAUUCGUCACACUAUCAUUAACUGAAUCCAUAGGUUAAUGAGGCGAACCGGGGGAACUGAAACAUCUAAGUACCCCGAGGAAAAGAAAUCAACCGAGAUUCCCCCAGUAGCGGCGAGCGAACGGGGAGCAGCCCAGAGCCUGAAUCAGUGUGUGUGAUAGUGGAAGCGUCUGGAAAGGCGCGCGAUACAGGGUGACAGCCCCGUACACAAAAAUGCACAUGCUGUGAGCUCGAUGAGUAGGGCGGGACACGUGGUAUCCUGUCUGAAUAUGGGGGGACCAUCCUCCAAGGCUAAAUACUCCUGACUGACCGAUAGUGAACCAGUACCGUGAGGGAAAGGCGAAAAGAACCCCGGCGAGGGGAGUGAAAAAGAACCUGAAACCGUGUACGUACAAGCAGUGGGAGCACAGAGCAAUCUGUGUGACUGCGUACCUUUUGUAUAAUGGGUCAGCGACUUAUAUUCUGUAGCAAGGUUAACCGAAUAGGGGAGCCGAAGGGAAACCGAGUCUUAACUGGGCGUUAAGUUGCAGGGUAUAGACCCGAAACCCGGUGAUCUAGCCAUGGGCAGGUUGAAGGUUGGGUAACACUAACUGGAGGACCGAACCGACUAAAUGUUGAAAAAUUAGCGGAUGACUUGUGGCUGGGGGUGAAAGGCCAAUCAAAACCGGGAGAUAGCUGGUUCUCCCCGAAAGCUAUUUAGGUAGCGCCUCGUGAAUUCAUCUCCGGGGGUAGAGCACUGUUUCGGCAAGGGGGUCAUCCCGACUUACCAACCCGAUGCAAACUGCGAAUACCGGAGAAUGUUAUCACGGGAGACACACGGCGGGUGCUAACGUCCGUCGUGAAGAGGGAAACAACCCAGACCGCCAGCUAAGGUCCCAAAGUCAUGGUUAAGUGGGAAACGAUGUGGGAAGGCCCAGACAGCCAGGAUGUUGGCUUAGAAGCAGCCAUCAUUUAAAGAAAGCGUAAUAGCUCACUGGUCGAGUCGGCCUGCGCGGAAGAUGUAACGGGGCUAAACCAUGCACCGAAGCUGCGGCAGCGACGCUUAUGCGUUGUUGGGUAGGGGAGCGUUCUGUAAGCCUGCGAAGGUGUGCUGUGAGGCAUGCUGGAGGUAUCAGAAGUGCGAAUGCUGACAUAAGUAACGAUAAAGCGGGUGAAAAGCCCGCUCGCCGGAAGACCAAGGGUUCCUGUCCAACGUUAAUCGGGGCAGGGUGAGUCGACCCCUAAGGCGAGGCCGAAAGGCGUAGUCGAUGGGAAACAGGUUAAUAUUCCUGUACUUGGUGUUACUGCGAAGGGGGGACGGAGAAGGCUAUGUUGGCCGGGCGACGGUUGUCCCGGUUUAAGCGUGUAGGCUGGUUUUCCAGGCAAAUCCGGAAAAUCAAGGCUGAGGCGUGAUGACGAGGCACUACGGUGCUGAAGCAACAAAUGCCCUGCUUCCAGGAAAAGCCUCUAAGCAUCAGGUAACAUCAAAUCGUACCCCAAACCGACACAGGUGGUCAGGUAGAGAAUACCAAGGCGCUUGAGAGAACUCGGGUGAAGGAACUAGGCAAAAUGGUGCCGUAACUUCGGGAGAAGGCACGCUGAUAUGUAGGUGAAGUCCCUCGCGGAUGGAGCUGAAAUCAGUCGAAGAUACCAGCUGGCUGCAACUGUUUAUUAAAAACACAGCACUGUGCAAACACGAAAGUGGACGUAUACGGUGUGACGCCUGCCCGGUGCCGGAAGGUUAAUUGAUGGGGUCAGCGCAAGCGAAGCUCUUGAUCGAAGCCCCGGUAAACGGCGGCCGUAACUAUAACGGUCCUAAGGUAGCGAAAUUCCUUGUCGGGUAAGUUCCGACCUGCACGAAUGGCGUAAUGAUGGCCAGGCUGUCUCCACCCGAGACUCAGUGAAAUUGAACUCGCUGUGAAGAUGCAGUGUACCCGCGGCAAGACGGAAAGACCCCGUGAACCUUUACUAUAGCUUGACACUGAACAUUGAGCCUUGAUGUGUAGGAUAGGUGGGAGGCUUUGAAGUGUGGACGCCAGUCUGCAUGGAGCCGGCCUUGAAAUACCACCCUUUAAUGUUUGAUGUUCUAACGUUGACCCGUAAUCCGGGUUGCGGACAGUGUCUGGUGGGUAGUUUGACUGGGGCGGUCUCCUCCUAAAGAGUAACGGAGGAGCACGAAGGUUGGCUAAUCCUGGUCGGACAUCAGGAGGUUAGUGCAAUGGCAUAAGCCAGCUUGACUGCGAGCGUGACGGCGCGAGCAGGUGCGAAAGCAGGUCAUAGUGAUCCGGUGGUUCUGAAUGGAAGGGCCAUCGCUCAACGGAUAAAAGGUACUCCGGGGAUAACAGGCUGAUACCGCCCAAGAGUUCAUAUCGACGGCGGUGUUUGGCACCUCGAUGUCGGCUCAUCACAUCCUGGGGCUGAAGUAGGUCCCAAGGGUAUGGCUGUUCGCCAUUUAAAGUGGUACGCGAGCUGGGUUUAGAACGUCGUGAGACAGUUCGGUCCCUAUCUGCCGUGGGCGCUGGAGAACUGAGGGGGGCUGCUCCUAGUACGAGAGGACCGGAGUGGACGCAUCACUGGUGUUCGGGUUGUCAUGCCAAUGGCACUGCCCGGUAGCUAAAUGCGGAAGAGAUAAGUGCUGAAAGCAUCUAAGCACGAAACUUGCCCCGAGAUGAGUUCUCCCUGACUCCUUGAGAGUCCUGAAGGAACGUUGAAGACGACGACGUUGAUAGGCCGGGUGUGUAAGCGCAGCGAUGCGUUGAGCUAACCGGUACUAAUGAACCGUGAGGCUUAACCUU